rnacentral:rRNA from 1 species
AGCGAACGCUGGCGGCAGGCCUAACACAUGCAAGUCGAACGAACCUUUCGGGGUUAGUGGCGGACGGGUGAGUAACACGUGGGAACGUGCCUUUAGGUUCGGAAUAACUCAGGGAAACUUGUGCUAAUACCGAAUGUGCCCUUCGGGGGAAAGAUUUAUCGCCUUUAGAGCGGCCCGCGUCUGAUUAGCUAGUUGGUUGAGGUAAUGGCUCACCAAGGCGAGGAUCAGUAGCUGGUCUGAGAGGAUGAUCAGCCACAUUGGGACUGAGACACGGCCCAAACUCCUACGGGAGGCAGCAGUGGGGAAUCUUGCGCAAUGGGCGAAAGCCUGACGCAGCCAUGCCGCGUGAAUGAUGAAGGUCUUAGGAUUGUAAAAUUCUUUCACCGGGGACGAUAAUGACGGUACCCGGAGAAGAAGCCCCGGCUAACUUCGUG